rnacentral:rRNA from 1 species
CUAGAACGAACGCUGGCGGCAGGUCUAGGCAUGCAAGUCGAACGGAUGACAAGGGAGCUUGCUCCUGAAGUCAGUGGCGCACGAGUGAGUAACGCGUGGGAAACUGCCCUUCACUGGGGAAUAACGUUUGGAAACGAACGCUAAUACCGCAUACGCCCGCAAGGGGAAAGAUUUAUCGGUGAUGGAUGUGCCCGCGUUGGAUUAGCUAGUUGGUGGGGUAAUGGCCUACCAAGGCGAUGAUCCAUAGCUGGUCUGAGAGGGCGAUCAGCCACGCUGGAACUGAGACACGGUCCAGACUCCUACGGGAGGCAGCAGCUAAGAAUAUUGGGCAAUGGAGGAAACUCUGACCCAGCCAAUGCCGCGUGAAUGAAGAAGGCCUUCGGGUUGUAAAGUUCUUUUAGUCAUGAAGAUGAUGACAGUAGUGACAGAAAAAGCACCGGCUAACUUCGUGCCAGCCGCAGC